UCACAGGUUGAUGGAAGUUUGUGUACUGGAAAUCGGAGCUAUGGAACAUGGUGAAGAUUAAGUAUGUGGUCCUCAGACCGUCUUUAUGCUUAAAGAUUCUAUCUAGUCCUACAGGACUCAAGAAGUAUUUCAAUCUCUACUUUUAAGUUUGCUUUGUGGAAAAAGUAAGGUUUAAGUAUGGGGUUUGGAAAUUCCCAUGGAUUCGGGUG
rnacentral:lncRNA from 1 species